AUACGGUCAUUGCUGGCUGCAACCAACGACCAUAAAAGACUAUCGUCUGCGUCAAACCACUCUCAGUCUCAGCCAUCACCAAACAUUUAGGAUAUUAGCCACUGAGGUAACUGCAAAAAUUGCACCGUUUUGGACAAUGAGUGGAAUGGUCAUGGUGAUUAGGUUGGAUGGAGGGAUAUGAUGAUUAGGUUGGAUGGAGGGAUAUGAUGAUUAGGUUGGAUGGAGGGAUAUGAUGAUUAGGUUGGAUGGAGGGAUAUGAUGAUUAGGUUGGAUGGAGGGAUAUGAUGAUUAGGUUGGAUGGAGGGAUAUGAUGAUUAGGUUGGAUGGAGGGAUAUGAUGAUUAGGUUGGAUGGAGGGAUAUGAUGAUUAGGUUGGAUGGAGGGAUAUGAUGAUUAGGUUGGAUGGAGGGAUAUGAUGAUU